rnacentral:rRNA from 1 species
GCGCGAAAACUUUACAAUGCUGGCAACAGCGAUAAGGGAACCUCGAGUGCCAGGUUACAAAUCUGGCUGUCGAGAUGCCUACAAGCAUUUCAUAGCAAGGGCCGGGCAAGACCGGUGCCAGCCGCCGCGGUAACACCGGCGGCUCGAGUGGUCACCGUUAUUAUUGGGUCUAAAGGGUCUGUAGCCGGCCGGAUAAGUCUCUUGAGAAAUCUGGCAGCUUAACGGUCAGGCUUUCAGGAGAUACUGUCUGGCUCGAGGCCGGGAGAGGUGAGAGGUACUUCAGGGGUAGGGGUGAAAUCUUGUAAUCCUUGAAGGACCACCAGUGGCGAAGGCGUCUCACCAGAACGGACCUGACGGCAAGGGACGAAAGCUAGGGGCACGAACC